rnacentral:rRNA from 1 species
CUUUUAUUAGAUUCAAGACCACGACUCGUCGUUUGACGUGUUAAUUGAUGAGCACUGGAUAAUUGCAGAACCCCAGAUGCCUUGCGCAGGGGGUGUAUCUUUCAAGUGUCUGCCCUAUCAACUUUGGACGGUAGUGUACAGGACUACCGUGGUUGUAACGGGUAACGGGGAAUCAGGGUUUGAUUCCGGAGAGGGAGCCUGAGAAACGGCUACCACAUCUAAGGAAGGCAGCAGGCGCGCAAAUUACCCAAUCCCAGAACGGGGAGGUAGUGACGAAAAAUAACAAUAUGAUGCCUUACGGUAUUGUGAUUGGAAUGGAAGGGAUGUAAAAGCUCCCUUGAGGACCUAGUGGAGGGCAAGUCUGGUGCCAGCAGCCGCGGUAAUACCAGCCUCCACAAGCAUAUACAAAAGUUGCUGCGUUUAAAAAGCUCGUAGCUGGAUCUGCUAAUUGAGUUUCAUAAUCCAAUUCCAGAUGGAUAAGGGGGAGACUUGAUUACCUUGCCGUUGAGGGUUCUUGCGCUUAAUUGCGUCGAGUUCCCGACGCGGAAGUUUUACUUUGAAUAAAUUAGAGUGUUC